UAAAAAAGAAAAAAAAGGGAAACAAGAAAAUAAAGCUAACAAAAUUACUUUUAGAAAAAGGGAAAAAAGGAAAGUUUGAAGAUCGGGGUCUAAUUCGGGGUUCUUUUGGAAAAUAUAAUAAAAUCUUUGAAUCUGUAAAGUGUUGCUAAUGUAAAACCCUGAAGAUAAAAGAGCUCGCGAUUCAUUUUCAUCUAUUUUUUUAAAGGCAUUUUAAUUUUUUUAUUUUGUUGUGAAUUGGGUUUUUGUUUUGGGGUUUUUUUGUCCUGAAUUUUGAAUCUCUUUAUUUAUUUAUUUAAUUUAAAAAAGUUUGAGUGCUGGAGUGGAGUGAGGUGUGCUUUUAGAAUUUGUUACUUUUUCUUGCAUUUUCCAGGAAGAGGGAAAGACUGUAUUUAGUGGUGAAUUUGAGAGUGGUUUGGAUUGUUUUUUAUUUGUUUGAAUUUGGUGGAAAAGUUUGGAGAAUUCAAAUGCUGGAGGAAGACUUGGUAGAACUUAAGCUCCGAUUGUAUGAUGGAUCGGAUAUCGGUCCAUUUUGACACUCACCUACCUCAACUGUUGCUAUGCUCAAGGAAAGACUGGUUGCUGAGUGGUCUAAAGGUCAAUGCUUCCACUUUCUCCAUACAAAAAAAAAAAUAAAAAUUCAAGUUGUUUGUUUCCAUUGAAUUUGGUUUCUAUUGCAUAUGGCAUUGUAAUUGUAGAAUUAUCUCUAAGUUUGCGUUUUCGUUCCACUUUAGGCAAUGUCUCAUGGCCAGUUUCUCAUGACUAAGAUUUGCUGUUUGCCUUUUUGUUGGUUCUAGGGAUGCAUAAAUUGGUUUCA